rnacentral:rRNA from 1 species
UGCUAAGGCCGAUGGCGACCGGCGCACGGGUGAGUAACACGUAUCCAACCUGCCGUCUACUCUUGGACAGCCUUCUGAAAGGAAGAUUAAUACAAGAUGGCAUCAUGAGUCCGCAUGUUCACAUGAUUAAAGGUAUUCCGGUAGACGAUGGGGAUGCGUUCCAUUAGAUAGUAGGCGAGGUAACGGCCCACCUAGUCUUCGAUGGAUAGGGGUUCUGAGAGGAAGGUCCCCCACAUUGGAACUGAGACACGGUCCAAACUCCUACGGGAGGCAGCAGUGAGGAAUAUUGGUCAAUGGGCGAGAGCCUGAACCAGCCAAGUAGCGUGAAGGAUGACGG